AACGAACGCUGGCGGCAUGCCUAACACAUGCAAGUCGAACGAGAACAUCGGGACUAGUGGCGCACGGGUGUGUCACGCGUGGGAAGCUUCCCUUAGGUUUGGAAUAACUCUCCGAAAGGGGUGAUAAUACCGGAUAAUGUCUUCGGACCAAAGAUUUAUCGCCCUGGGAUGGGCGCGCGUUGGAUUAGCUAUUUGGGAGGGUAAAAGCCUAUUAAGGCGACGAUCCAUAGCUGGGCUGAGAGGAUGAUCAGCCACACUAAGACUGAGACACGGCCCAGACUCCUACGCGAGGGAGGAGAGGGGGAUAUUGGACAAUGGGCGAAGGCCUGAACCAGCAAUGCUGCUUAAGUGCUGAUGGCAUUAGGGUUGUAAAGCUCUUUUACCCGGGAUGAUAAUGACGGUACCGGGAGAAUAAGCUCCGGCUAACUCCGUG
rnacentral:rRNA from 1 species